UUGCUGAAGCAGCAAGCGGUGAGAUUUUGCUGUGCUUUCGGUGCUUUUUAAAAAUUUUAAUCCAUUUUCAUUUCUCUCUGUCUUACUUCCACCCCCAAGGAGAUUUUAUUCAGGAGCUGAAACUCGGGAUGAUGCAGAGUCAGAGAGAAGCAAAUCAUUCUGCAGUGAGGAAUCGUCAGACAGGAGCUGGGACCAGAGAGAGAGAGACCGAGAGAAUUAUAAUCAACCAUCUCGUGUCCUUGUCGUUCAAUUCCACACUCACAUGCUCAUGGGGGAAUGAAUUAUGGGGCUCAGGCAGUCUCUGGAGUUUGGACCACAAGGGCGUGAGACCUGGGCUGGCGCUUGGGGGAGACAAAGGGACAAAAAUGGGGCUGCUGCACAGUCUGAUCCCACAGAUUUUACUGCCUUCCUCUGCCUUCAUACUCCCAGCUUCUUGUCUCUCUCACAGCUUUCUAUAAAUCCCCAUCUCCCCUCCAUCCUUCAAAUCUCCCCCUAUCUACUGCACACAGGCUGUUAAAAGCAGAACAGAGUGGGGAUGAAUUCACAGGUUGAUGCUAGGGUAAUAGAAUGGGGAUGGGUUCAGAGGGCAGUGCUAGGGUAACAGAAUGAAGAUGGGUUCACAGGCCAAGGCAAGGAAAACAGAGUGGGAAUGCAUCACUAGAUCAUUGCUAAAGCAACAGUGUGGGGCGGUGUUCAAAGGCCAUAGCUGGUAGAACAGAGGCGGGGUGCGAGGAGAACAGAGGAUGCAUUCACAGGCUGCUGCACAGGGACAUACUAAGGAAGGGUUCUCUGGCCUAUGCUAGCACAACAGAAUGGGGAUGGGCUCACCGGCCAUUCCUAGGUAUAAUAGUGUGGGAAUGAGUUAACAGGCCAUUUUCUAUGAGAACAGUUUCAGCAUACGUUCACACAUCGCUGUUAGGAGAACAGAGUGUGGGAUGGGUUUAUAGUCUAUGGCUAGAGUAACAUUGUUAGGAUGGGUUCAUAGGCCAUUGCAAGGAGAACACAGUGGGAGUGGGUUAACAGAUCAUUGCGAGGGGAACAAGAUUAAGAUGGGCUCACAGGCCAUUGCUAGAGGAACAGAAUGGGGAUGGGAUCAUAGACUAUUGCUAUAAAACUAAAUUGGGAUUGGGUUCCCAAGUCACUGCUAGGAGAACAGUGUGGAGAUGGUUGAACAGUCUGGUGCUAAGGCAAAAGCGUGAGGAUUGGUUCACAGGCUGGUGCAAGUGAUACAGUAUUGAUGGUUUCACAGACUGUUUCUAGCAGAGCAGAUUGGGAAUGGGGUCACAGGCAGUUGUCAGUGCAGCAGAGUGGAGGUGGUUUCACAGGCCGUUGCUAGGGGAAGAGAGUAGGGAUUGGCUGACAGGCUGUUACUAAGAGAACAGAGGCAGGAUCAGUUCACACGUUGUUGCUACGAGAACAUUUUGUGGAUGUUCAACAGGUUGUUGCUUGGGGUACAUUGGAGAUGUGGUCACAGUCUUUUGCAAUGAAAUUGGGGAUGGGUAUGAGCCUGUUUCAAGGGGAUCAGAGUGGGGAUGGAUUCAUAGGCCUUUCCAAGGGCAACCGUCUAAGGAUCUGCUCAUAGGCCUUGACUCGGGCAAGACAGUGGCAAUGGGCUCACAGAUUGUUGCUGGGGGAACAGAUUGGGAAUGUUUCACAUGCUGUAGCUACAAGAAAAGACUGGUCGUGUGUUAAUAAGUUGUUGCAAGAAGAAGGGAAUGCAGACGUGUUCACAGGUCAUUGGUAGAACAGUGGAGAUGUGUUGACAGGCCAUUGCUAGCUUAACAGAAUGGUGAUGGGCUUACAGGCUUUUGCUCUUGGAGAAGAGUGCGGAUGGUACACAGGGAGAGAAAAAGUGUAGAACCGACACAGAGAGAGAUCAACAGACAGACCGAGAGGGAAACAGAGGGAUGCACAGAUUGAUUUGUUGUCACAUGUACUGAAAUACAGUAAAAUGUUUUGUUUAUGAGUGGUCCAGAUCAGAUCGGAGCCAGGCAGAGUCAGCAUGGUUUACAAAAAGGAAGUCACGCUUGAGGAAAACGUUCAAUUAAAAAAAACACUAGCCCAAUCACUGUAACUCCUGGGAAACUCGGGCUGCAAAUCACAGCACUCGGUCCCCACUGAAAUCAACUGAUUCACAACACCCCGAUUUUGCAUCUCUUUUUGCUUCUGGCCCUGUCUCACCUUCACCUCCCUCAGCCCAGCCAGAUCCAAUGUCAAUUAGUGUUCAAUGCCAAUGCAGGCCAAUGGCAAAUCCAAUGUUUACCUGGAAAGCGAGCUGGAGGAACAUAAGACACAAGGUGUUACAAUGUGAUGGGGUUGUCGAUGACAGGUUAGAGAGGCACAAGGAUCUCAUCUUUAUGCUCCCAUGUACUAGUUAGAUGAAUAUGCUCAGUGCACAUUACCCCUUCUACAUUCAUCAGUCUUGUGCUUGUGUUUAAGUUUUGAAAAUGGCUUUGAAUGUGAGACAAGUGGAGCUGUAACAAUCCCGUGGUAUUCAGCAGCAAAAAAAACCAAUCAGGCUUUUCCAAAAUGGGUAUCUUCUGAGAUCGUGAGCCACAUGGAAGAAUGAGAACUGUCUCACUGGGGCUCGCCAUGUCUACUUUCAAAGUCUGCUCGAAGUGAUCAGAAACUUUGCUGAAUUUGCACAUUAGGAUUGCAGCACGAGCAAGUGGCCAAUUUCUGGUUGGGUGGAUGGAGAAGCCUGAUUCAUUCAUAUGAAAACCUAGGAUAGAAACUUAUGGCCCUGAGGAGACGCUAUCCUCAAAUUGAGUGACUGCUGGCCACGCUGAGGGAUAUUGUACAGCAGGGAGAAUAGUCAGUCAUCCUGAGCUAUGAAGAGGGGAUGUUGUGAACAUCUGUACUGGACUGAUGGAUGGAUUUUUGAAACUCCUUUUAUCAGAGCUCAGAGUGGCUGGUACACACAGCAAAACCCAAAUCAAUUGAAAUGAUUAUCUCUUCUGAAUGGCUCGCUCUGGCUGAUGGAGAUUGAUUUUACAAACUAACUCAUAGAAUUUCCACGGAGUAACCUCAGUUACAUCACCCGAUUCCAAGGGAUUUCCUUAAUUUUGAAACUAUUCUCUGACAUGGAACUUUUGAAAUCUUUCCAGCUACAGGUUCCAGCAGAUUGUAAUAUUGUAAUCAAUAAGACUGUUUCAGGGCUAAAUAUUUUUUAAUGAGUCAUUAAUAAUUUAAGGAUUUUAUUGUUGUCCUGUGUUAUUUGGGAGAGGUUCAAUGUCUCUGCAUCUGGAGUGACACCUUUGCUGUGGGAUCUGAAUCCAUGUUCAUCUAUUGCUCUCUUUCACUGAUGUUUGAUGACUAGCAUCGGAAUGGUGGGCAGACGGCACACUCUGUGCUGUAAAUCUGUAUAACUCUGUCCAUCUGUAUGGUUUUAUGACCCUUGCUUUCCUUGAUCACCUCUCUGCCAUUGUCGAACUUCCACUGCCUCCAAUCCUGCAUGUAUUUUAGAUUCUGUUUCAGGCUAUACAUUUACUGUGUCUUCUCCCACUGCCCAUCCCCUCACUAUGUGCGACUGGCUUACCAGCAUGAUGUUCCCACAUUAUCUUUCACAGGAAUUGUUUCUUAAGUGCAACAGUUCACCUGUUUUCCACUUCGGAGACAAUAUUAACAAUCACAUUCUGCAGCAUUCCUCACCUCCACCUAAAGGUUGGGAGAUUUUGGCAAACAGCAUUUUCUUUUGUCUCUUCACAAUAGAUAACGCAUUAGCCACAGCCAACCAGUUUGUGCUUACAGUGCUCAAAUAUUAAUAGUGCCCAAUUAAUAUUAAUAACACCUCCUUCAACUCAACCAGACAGGGGCCAGCCCUUCUUUAGUUGAGGUCUCCAGUGAUGCUUUGAAAAAUCAGAGUCAAUCUGUCUGCGUGAAAUUUAAACAAAGUUUGGUCAUCAUCUAACUGGUGCAUUUUCCUUUGCAAUGCCUUGACCAAUCAGAGUCUAUUAUUCGCCCAGGUCAGUACAGUAUAAAACGUUUGCUCCCUUUCCAUUGGUGCUUAUUGUGAAUGAACCGAAGUGUGCAAGACAAAAAGCUUUGAUGAAACUUGCCUUUUUUGCAUACAGUUGGACAUUAUUGAACUGUUGUACAUUGUUGUGGCUCGGCCUCUCUCACAAUGCCACCACACAAGGCCUUAUAGAUGAUUAUGGAGGAACAAUGUGUAUUGUGGUUGAUUAAUUAUUUCAAUAAAUAAAGAGAGGACAGAA